rnacentral:rRNA from 1 species
GACGAACGCUGGCGGCGCGCUUAACACAUGCAAGUCGAACGGAAAGGCCCUGCUUUUGUGGGGUGCUCGAGUGGCGAAAGGGUGAGUAACACGUGAGUAACCUGCCCUUGAUUUUGGGAUAACUUCAGGAAACUGGGGCUAAUACCGGAUAGGAGCUCCUGCUGCAUGGUGGGGGUUGGAAAGUCUCGGCGGUUGGGGAUGGACUCGCGGCUUAUCGGCUUGUUGGUGGGGUAGUGGCUUACCAAGGCAUUGACGGGUAGCCGGCCUGGUAGGGUGACCGGCUACAAUGGGGCUGAGAUACGGCCCAGCCUGCUACGGGAGGCAGCAGUGGGGAGUAUUGCACAAUGGGCUGAAGCCGGAUGCAGCAACGCCGCGUGCGGGAUGACGGCCUUCGGGUUGUGAACCGCUUUCGCCUGUGACGAAGCGUGAGUGACGGUAAUGGGUAAAGAAGCACCGGCUAACUACGUG